AACGUACGCUGGCGGCACGCCUAACACAUGCAAGUCGAACGAAGUAGCAAUACUUAGUGGCAGACGGGUGAGUAACAUGUAGGUAUCUGCCCUUUGGCCUGGAAUAACACGAGGAAACUUGUGCUAAUACCGGAUAAGUCUUUACGGAGAAAGCUUUAUGCACCAUUGGAUGAGCCUGCACUUGAUUAGUUUGUUGGUGGGGUAAUGGCCUACCAAGACUGUGAUCAAUAGCUGAUUUGAGAGGAUGAUCAGCCACAUUGGGACUGAGACACGGCCCAAACUCCUACGGGAGGCAGCAGUGGGGAAUCUUGCACAAUGGAGGAAACUCUGAUGCAGCGAUGCCGCGUGAGUGAAGAAGGCCCUUGGGUUGUAAAGCUCUUUCGUCGGGGAAGAAAAUGACUGUACCCGAAUAAGAAGGUCCGGCUAACUUCGUGCCAGCAGCCGCGGUAAUACGAAGGGACCUAGCGUAGUUCGGAAUUACUGGGCUUAAAGAGUUCGUAGGUGGUUGAAAAAGUUAGUGGUGAAAUCCCAGAGCUUAACUCUGGAACUGCCAUUAAAACUUUUCAGCUAGAGUAUGAUAGAGGAAAGCAGAAUUUCUAGUGUAGAGGUGAAAUUCGUAGAUAUUAGAAAGAAUACCAAUUGCGAAGGCAGCUCUACUGGAUCAUUACUGACACUGA
rnacentral:rRNA from 1 species